GGGCUUUUAGUACAAUUGCUAGCAUGCUCGACUUCCGAUCCGAGGUGUUGUUGUUUGCGGGUUCAAGUCCAGUCGAGUCCA
rnacentral:tRNA from 1 species